rnacentral:rRNA from 1 species
GACGAACGCUGGCGGCGUGCCUAAUACAUGCAAGUAGAACGCACAGUUUAUACCGUAGCUUGCUACACCAUAGACUGUGAGUUGCGAACGGGUGAGUAACGCGUAGGUAACCUGCCUGGUAGCGGGGGAUAACUAUUGGAAACGAUAGCUAAUACCGCAUAAUAUUGAUUAUUGCAUGAUAAUUAAUUGAAAGGUGCAAUUGCACCACUACCAGAUGGACCUGCGUUGUAUUAGCUAGUAGGUGAGGUAACGGCUCACCUAGGCGACGAUACAUAGCCGACCUGAGAGGGUGAUCGGCCACACUGGGACUGAGACACGGCCCAGACUCCUACGGGAGGCAGCAGUAGGGAAUCUUCGGCAAUGGACGAAAGUCUGACCGAGCAACGCCGCGUGAGUGAAGAAGGUUUUCGGAUCGUAAAGCUCUGUUGUAAGAGAAGAACGGGUGUGAGAGUGGAAAGUUCACGCUGUGACGGUAUCUUACCAGAAAGGGACGGCUAACUACGUG